UUCCGAUUCUGGUAAUGACUGUUGAACCUCAGAAGGAUAUUUGGCCUCACGAUAGGACAAAUCCUGUGAAAGCUGUGGCUAUUGCCAUGAAUAAUAGAAUGAUUCUCAUAAUUCAU